GCAGGUGGCAGCGAGAGGAGGUAGGGAACUGGUCUGUCUGCCCAAUAUAAAGGAUCAAUACUGGAGGAGGCAGGUGGCAGCGAGAGGAGGUAGGGAACUGGUCUGUCUGCCCAAUAUAAAGGAUCAAUACUGGAGGAGGCAGGUGGCAGCGAGAGGAGGUAG